GGGUGCUUAGCUCAGUUGGUAGAGCGCUAGCCUUACAAGCUGGAUGUCGGCGGUUCGACCCCGUCAGCACCCACCA
rnacentral:tRNA from 1 species